rnacentral:rRNA from 1 species
UACAGAGGUCUCAAGCGUUGUUCGGAUUCAUUGGGCGUAAAGGGUGCGUAGGUGGCGCCGUAAGUCGGGUGUGAAAUUUCGAGGCUUAACCUCGAAACUGCAUUCGAUACUGCGGUGCUUGAGGACUGGAGAGGAGACUGGAAUUCCGCGUGUAGCAGUGAAAUGCGUAGAUAUGCGGAGGAACACCGAUGGCGAAGGCAAUCCCCUGGACCUGUACUGACGCUCAUGCACGAAAGGCGUGGGGAGCAAACGAGGAUU